GGCAGCUCUAGUCUCAGCCAUGCUACCAUGUCAAAUGCCAAAAUGAACUAUUCAAACAGACACCUCCUCCUUGCAGACACAGCAAUCCUGCAAGAGAAAGAAAAAGAGAGGGAGGGUCAGGGCAAUGUGAUCAAGCGAUCCCCCCUCUCGUACUCCAUUUUGCAGAUGACACACCUAGAUGCAGACAUGAGGAAGAAUUAAAGAGGAGAAUAGCAUGAUCACAAUUGAGAAGCUAGUUUUGGAAAGGUUACAGGUAUCAGCGGCCAGGCACUAUCAACUGCAUAGCUAUGGUCUUUUAUUUGCACAUGCAUGUGUGUCUAUGUGCCCAUGCUUAUCACUUGCAGAUAAAGGUUGUGCUGAAUAGAACUUAUAAUUGAAGUUUAUAGUUAUCUUA